ACGGAAACGUGUGCGUUAAAUGUGACACCAUGGAUUGGACUUUAAUUUGAAGUUGGCGCCAAUGCAGUGCGCAAGCAGUGUCCAAGCAGUUCGCAAGCAGGCGAAGCAGUGAACCGGUUGCAAACGGGUAACACGCACUCAAGCAGGACUUCAAUUUGUGGAGUCCCCUUUUUAUUGGCUAUAAACCAAGUUUAAAGCAUAGAAAGCCUCUGGAAGGCACAGCCAUAGCCAUCACAUACGACACCAUACGACUCCAGCUACAAGCUACCUUAAAAUGCCCUCGAGCACCUCAAUUGGCUGUCGAUUGGCCAACUAGCGACACUUUCAGUGCCUAAUAAAUUAAUUACGCUUUACGCUUUAAUUGAUGCCCGUCGUCGCUUUUGUCGCUUUUGUCGGUUUUGGCGUGCGAACAAGUUGGCCAGUUACCCAGUUUGCCAGUUAGCCGGCCAGUCGCAGUCAGGAGCAGAAGUCACCUGGGCUUGGUCAGGUGUCGGCGCAACAACAGAGUCAUUAGCCACCGCGCUGGGCGGGAUGGGGCUCCUCCUGCUCCAGCUCCUGCUGUUGCUCCUCCUCCUUCUCCUGCUCCACUGGCAUCCACCGCUUUCAGUCGCCGAACUAUGUGACAUUUUUCAAAUGUUCCCGCCGGCGGAACAAAGGAGGAGUACGGUUACAGCUGGCCUUGUGCGUUCCCUGGACGCCCCCUUGCCACCUCCUCCUCCUCAUCCUCAAGGAACGUGCUGCAAUGCCUACGCGUCAGCGUUGGAGUCAAUUGCAACGCCAAUCGAAGCUGCAAGUACACUCGCAACAAAUUAAUCCGGAAGUUUGGAUUCAUAUGCCAUUCGUCUAAGAUCUUUGAUGCCUUUUAAACACAAUUCGCUUAGGUGCUAUAAUAUAGAAGUUGGAGUUUAGGUUGUAGCUAAGAUGUUCUAAUCCAAAUUUCGUUGUGAAGUAUUCAGUUUCUGUGAGUGCCUGCAACCAAGAGCGGCAGUUCGGCACUGGGCCGUCAAUGGUGUCACAACGCCGGCUGAAAGCCAAUCCGCGUCCCAGCAAUGAGAUGAGAUGAGCUGCGAUGGAUGGGACGGAAU